CCUACGGGAGGCAGCAGUGGGGAAUAUUGCACAAUGGGGGAAACCCUGAUGCAGCGACGCCGCGUGAGUGAAGAAGUAAUUCGUUACGUAAAGCCCUAUUAGCAGGGAAGAAAAUGACGGUACCUGACUACGAAGCCCCGUCUAACUACGUGCCAGCAGCCGCGGUAAUACGUAGGGGGCAAGCGUUAUCCGGAUUUACUGGGGGUAAAGGGAGCGUAGUCGGUGCGGCAAGUCUGGAGUGAAAUGCCGUGGCUUAACUGCGGAACUGCUUUGGAAACUGGCGAACUAGAGUGCGGGAGGGGUAAGCGGAAUGCGUGGUGUAGCGGUGAAAUGCGUAGAUAUUAGGAGGAACACCGGUGGCGAAGGCGGCUUACUGGACCGUAACUGACGUUGAGGCUCGAAAGCGUGGGGAGCAAACAGGAUUAGAUACCCUUGUAGUC
rnacentral:rRNA from 1 species